GAUGAAGAACGCAGCAAAAUGCGAUAAGUAAUGUGAAUUGCAGAAUUCAGUGAAUCAUCGAAUCUUUGAACGCACAUUGCGCCCGCCAGUAUUCUGGCGGGCAUGCCUGUUCGAGCGUCAUUUCAACCCUCAAGCACAGCUUGGUGUUGGGACUCGCGUUAAUUCGCGUUCCUCAAAUUGAUUGGCGGUCACGUCGAGCUUCCAUAGCGUAGUAGUAAAACCCUCGUUACUGGUAAUCGUCGCGGCCACGCCGUUAAACCCCAACUUCUGAAUGUUGACCUCGCAUCAGGUAGGAAUACCCGCUGAACUUAAGCAUAUCAAUAAGCGGAGGA
rnacentral:misc_RNA from 1 species